rnacentral:rRNA from 1 species
AUUGAACGCUGGCGGCAUGCCUUACACAUGCAAGUCGAACGGCAGCACGGGAGCAAUCCUGGUGGCGAGUGGCGAACGGGUGAGUAAAGUAUCGGAACGUGCCCAGUCGUGGGGGAUAACGUAGCGAAAGUUACGCUAAUACCGCAUACGAUCUAUGGAUGAAAGCGGGGGAUCGCAAGACCUCGCGCGAUUGGAGCGGCCGAUAUCAGAUUAGGUAGUUGGUGGGGUAAAGGCCCACCAAGCCGACGAUCGGUAGCUGGUCUGAGAGGACGACCAGCCACACUGGGACUGAGACACGGCCCAGACUCCUACGGGAGGCAGCAGUGGGGAAUUUUGGACAAUGGGCGAAAGCCUGAUCCAGCCAUGCCGCGUGCAGGAUGAAGGCCUUCGGGUUGUAAACUGCUUUUGUACGGAACGAAAAGGACUGCCCUAAUACGGUGGUCCCAUGACGGUACCGUAAGAAUAAGCACCGGCUAACUACGUGCCAGCAGCCGCAGUAACAC